AGACGCUGGCGGCGUGCUUAAUACAUGCAAGUCGAGCGAGGUUAUUUUUCAAAGUCCUUCGGGGUGGCGAAAUUUUAACCUAGCGGCGGACGGGUGAGUAACGCGUGGGCAACCUGCCCUAAAGCCCGGGAUAACAGUGGGAAACUACUGCUAACACCGGAUGGUCUCAUUUUGUGGCAUCAUAAGAUGAGUAAAGGUUACGCUUUAGGAUGGGCCCGCGUCCCAUUAGCUAGUUGGUGAGGUAACUGCUCACCAAGGCGACGAUGGGUAGCCGGCCUGAGAGGGUGGACGGCCACACUGGGACUGAGACACGGCCCAGACUCCUACGGGAGGCAGCAGUAGGGAAUAUUGCGCAAUGGAGGGAACUCUGACGCAGCGACGCCGCGUGAGCGAUGAAGGUCUUCGGAUCGUAAAGCUCUGUCCUCAGGGAAGAAGGUUAUUAACUUGACGGUACCUGAGGAGGAAGCCCCGGCUAACUACGUG
rnacentral:rRNA from 1 species